rnacentral:rRNA from 1 species
UACGUAGGGACCGAGCGUUGUCCGGAUUCAUUGGGCGUAAAGAGCUCGUAGGCGGCUGUUCAAGUCGAACGUGAAAACUCGGAGCUCAACUCCGAGCCUGCGUUCGAUACUGGACGGCUAGAGUCUGGUAGGGGGAUCUGGAAUUCCUGGUGUAGCGGUGGAAUGCGCAGAUAUCAGGAGGAACACCGAUGGCGAAGGCAGUGGUCUGGGCCGAUACUGACGCUGAGGAGCGAAAGCAUGGGGAGCGAACAGG